rnacentral:rRNA from 1 species
UGAGGAAUAUUGCGCAAUGGCCGAAAGGCUGACGCAGCGACGCCGCGUGAAGGAUGAAGUUCGUUAGAAUGUAAACUUCUUUUGUAGGGAUGAAUGUGCCGUUUUGCGGCAUUGACCGUACCCUGCGAAUAAGGAUCGGCUAACUACGUGCCAGCAGCCGCGGUAAUACGUAGGAUCCGAGCGUUGUCCGGAUUUACUGGGUGUAAAGGGCGUGUAGGUGGGUCUCUAAGUCGGUGGUGAAAGCCCGCAGCUCAACUGCGGAAUUGCCAUUGAUACUGGAGGUCUUGAGUACGGCAGAGGGAAAUAGAAUUCAUGGUGUAGCGGUGAAAUGUGUAGAUAUCAUGAAGAAUACCGGUAGCGAAGGCGGUUUCCUGGUCCGUAACUGACACUGAGGCGCGAAAGCGUGGGGAGCAAACAGGAUUAGAUACCCCUGUAGUCCCUGAGCGGGCUGGCAAGGCG